GGCCACACGGGGGGCGCCAAGGCACUCGCUCUGCUAGGGAAGGCCAGCGCUGCCCCCCCCUCCACCCCCAAGGAUGCAGGGCGGAGAUAGUCCCAGUGGACACCCUGGCGUGGAUGCUGGGUGUAGCCUGGCCAUCAGCAACAGGGGUUCUAGGAGGACUUCCAGAUGAAGCAUCAGUCAAUAGGGCCAGGAGCAGGGGUGGAAGGCUCACGCUGCCGCCAGGCCUUUGAGAGGAGAUGCUGUUCUUUACAAGGCUGAAACUGAAGCCGCCUGGGGUUCCCGGGAGACUUGCUAAAACUUCAACUGCACCCAGUUUAGCGGAGCAACUUGAAAGUUAAUCAGCGGUGAGGGACAAUUUGCCUCAUUAUUUCCAGCCCUGGAAUUUGGCGGCAGAUGGAAUUCUGGGCUUGGUGUGGACGCAGCACUCAGCGAUGAACACAGCAGGGUCUGUCGCCCCUCGCCCCUUGGUCGGAGUGAAGUCCACACACACCAUUUAGUACAUUUUCAGCACUCUCUCUGCGUCAUUCAGUCUUCCCAAAUCCUGUGAGGCUGUUGUCAUCCCUCUUCAAAAGCAGCAGGAGAGACAUUCGAGGAAAACAGCAUUCGACGGGGCUCGAAACAUGAGGCCCUGCUGAUGAACUCCCAGCCAACCAGAAAAUGGAAUUAACCCCGCAGCCCACCCCUGGAGCCCUAGGUUUUCAGAAGGUGAAAUCAAGGCCCCACACUGAAGCCUGUCAACUUGCAGCUCAGAGCUUUUGCUAGGAAGCCAUGUGAAGGAUGAGACAUGAGGGCUCCAGGGAUCACCCCAACCUCAAGAGUGCUCCCCUGGGGCCUGACUGAAGAGGUGCAUUGCCCCCUCUCUGAUGGCUUGCUAAUGGGCAGCUUGCUGGGCUCCUGCUGGGGACAAUGGGUGCACCUGGUCCCUGCUGCUGCCCCUGGUGGAUGCUGGCAACCCUCUCCUCUUUCCAGAGCCGGGUUUCCUCAUCUGUGAAGUGAGGGUGCUAAUAUCUGCCUCACAGGUCACUGCGAGGGUCAGUGACAUGUUGGAAAGUCACCCUGGACAGUGCUGGCACACACAGGGCUUAUGCAAGUGUCCUCAGGCUCAGUGUGGGCACAAGGACUGUGGGGAAGGAGAGGCAGCCUCCCUAAAGGAGAAAAGGGGCUCUAGGAUUUGGGAAGCCUACGCUCACACAGACUCCACAUCCUCCUCCCUCAUUCCUUCUGUUUCUGGAGAGGGCAGUGUCUGGGCAGGCCCACCUCUGUAGGCAGUGUGGAUGGAAAGUAAUCCAGUUCCUGCCAAUUCUGCGGAGGCAGGGCGGGAGGAGGUCCUGUGGCGAUAAGGUCUCCCUCGUAGCAUUCUUCAAAUCAGUCCUGAACUCUGGGACCACCUACUGACCUCUGGCUUUGUAUGGUACAGGGUUUCCACUCCACCAUCUCAUGGGCUCACAUAUAGUUCUGUGGUGGGUGACAGCCAUGCCCACUUCACAGAUGAGGCCACAGAGGCCCAGAGCUGUGGGUGUGUCUAGGCACUCAGCCCACUUGAUGGGUGAAAGAAGUGGCACUCAAGCCCAGGUCUGCCAGACUCCAAACCCCUAUUCAUGCCACAUCUCAAACUUGCUGAAAGCCGAGGACACGGGUGGGGGACUGUGUGGGAGAGUGGUUCCUGCCACCAAAGGGUCACGUACAGGUGCAGCUGAAGUACUGAGGGUGACAAGAGAGGCUCCUGGCCCUUUAACAGCUUCUUUCCUUGCCCUCUGAUCUGUUGCUCCCAGUACUGGCGCUGCCCGCUGCCUGUGGAGCAGCUAAUCAGGGCAUUUCCGCAGUGGCACGCCAUAAACAGCCUGCAAAGGCCGGAGCUCCUCACACCCUCACAGAGCCAGGCACACCCCCAGGCAAGCACAGACUCAAGGGAGGCCUCACCGAGUCUUCAUCCUGGUCCCCAGCCCUUGUGAGAAAGAGGAAAGGCCAAUCUGAUUUCACUCAUGGGGACUCUCUGGCUCAGAGAGGGAGAUGACUUUUCCAAGGUCACAGAGUGAACUGUGGGAUGGGGGACAGAGACUUGAUGCUUGCAUUUCACAGAACCACUUGCUAUGAUCAGAAUAAAGGCCAACCUCACUGGUAGUUUCCAAAGCCCUUCCAAGUUGGAGGGGUCGUU